rnacentral:lncRNA from 1 species
GAGAGGUGAUAUUAUAAACAUCUAACAAAAAUAUUCUAAAAAGAUUCUAUAAAUAGUCUAUCUGAUUUUAAAUGGUUUCAAAAUAUUUUCAAAUAUUUUAAUAUGAGGUUCUAAAAGUUUUUUAAAAUAAAUCAACAAAUUUUAGAUAGUUUUACGAAAAUUAAAGAAGUUAUUUGAGAAGCUUCUUAAAAUUGCUUCAU